UACGGGGGGGGCAAGCGUUGUUCGGAAUUACUGGGCGUAAAGGGCUCGUAGGCGGCCAACUAAGUCGGAUGUGAAAUCCCCAAGCUUAACUUGGGAACUGCAUCCGAUACUGGAUGGCUUGAAUCCGGGAGAGGGAUGCAGAAUUCCAGGUGUAGCGGUGAAAUGCGUAGAUAUCUGGAGGAAUACCGGUGGCGAAGGCGGCAUCCUGGACCGGUAUUGACGCUGAGGCGCGAAAGCUAGGGGAGCAAACGGG
rnacentral:rRNA from 1 species